AGGACGAACGCUGGCGGCGUGCUUAAGACAUGCAAGUCGAACGGGUUCAGUUCCUUCGGGGACUGAGCUAGUGGCGGACGGGUGAGUAAUGCGUAGGAAUCUACCCACGAGUGGGGGAUAGCCCGGAGAAAUCCGGAUUAAUACCGCAUAUGCCCUACGGGGUAAAGCGGGGGAUCGUAAGACCUCGCGCUGGUGGAUGAGCCUACGUCCGAUUAGUUAGUUGGUGGGGUAAAGGCCUACCAAGGCUACGAUCGGUAGCUGGUCUGAGAGGACGACCAGCCACACUGGGACUGAGACACGGCCCAGACUCCUACGGGAGGCAGC
rnacentral:rRNA from 1 species